rnacentral:rRNA from 1 species
CAAGCAAAUCCCAUAAAGCCGUUCUCAGUUCGGAUUGUAGUCUGCAACUCGACUACAUGAAGCUGGAAUCGCUAGUAAUCGUAGAUCAGCAUGCUACGGUGAAUACGUUCCCGGGUCUUGUACACACCGCCCGUCACACCACGAGAGUUUGUAACACCCGAAGCCGGUGGAGUAACCUUUGGAGCUAGCCGUCGAAGGUGGGACAAAUGAUUGGGGUGAAGUCGUAACAAGGUAGCCGUAUCGGAAGGUGCGGCUGGAUCACCUCCUUUCUAAGGA